rnacentral:lncRNA from 1 species
AAAUUCUGUUCCCUGCUGUCAGAGAAUUCUAUUAAGAGUAAAUCAGAAAACAAAUGGAAGAGACAGAAAGGAAAGCAAAAGGAGAAAGGAAGCAAAAAAGGAAGGAGAAAAGGAAAAAAAAAAAAGAGGAAAAAUGUUCAAGGCACUGAAAGUGGAACUUGACAUCUAAAUCUUAAGUCCCACAAGGAGCUUGUUAUGCUUGCAACACAUAACAAAUACUCCAGAACUGGGAACCACACAAAAGAUGGUGACAGUGAUCUCUUCCAUACAAAGAUAUUGUAGGAGCAUGAGUUAAAUGUAACUGGUAGGUAUUUCACCUGCUAUAUGUAAAGUAGAAACUGUUUUCAGACUAAGAAUCAGAAAUCAUUUUUUUCAAGACUAGGUGAGUGCCCUUAUGCACUCAGCUGUAGAAGCAACACUCACUUUCCUGCUCUCUUUUUCUUGACUUUACAAUGCAAAGUGGCAUGACUUUAGAAAGGACUGUGCGGACAGAACACCGCAUCCUAACCUGGUUUGCUGAUCUCCAAAGGAAAAGGAGAUACGGACUGAAGCUCUUUUGGGAGGACAGAACCGGAACGGAGUCUGUAAUGUUCAGUGUGUAUUUAAAGAGAAUAUGUUACCAGCUGAGCAGUGCCUGAACAAUCGUCUUGCCUUUCAUAUACUGUACUUCCUCCAGAUCAGAGUGGGAGCAUCGUGGAGAAGCAAUCUGGGGGAAUUUGGGAAGGUAAUGGUUGCCAUCUGUAGUGCAUCUUUUCUAUAAAUGAGUAUUUUGAGCUUUUGUGCUGUUAGUUAAGCAACGUCAACCAUGCCUGAUCACUCUAAAACAAUACUUUGAGGAUCUGUAGUCAAGUGCUUAUCGAUUCUUCACUCUCAGAAGUCAAACAUAAAGCAAUGCAAAAAGAAUUUUUUAUAAUGACUAAUGUAAAUCAAAUAGCUGAUUUGUUAGAAA